GGGAGCUUGCAGGUGACCAAGACAAAACCCGCCUCCUUCCUUCAGUGGCUUGGCAUUUGAGGACAUCAGUCUGACUCAGACUGGAGAGCAGUCAAGGUACUCUUUUCUGCUUCCUAGAGAACCCAAGGAUGACCCUGGUUUGGUAAUGGAGGAAGAAUCAUGUGCACUACCUUCUUGGUCAUCUCCACCUUGGUGUUUCUACUGCGUCGACACUUCUUCAACAAAGUUGAACCAGAAACAACAGAGGAAAGCAAACAAGAGGUUGGAUCAGAUUCCUCCACAAGGGAAACCAGAACUUGAGCUCUGGUGCCUGCAUGUGACAGCGUGUUCAGAAGUGAAUGAAAAAGCAAUGAUUAAUGCUUGACAUCAUAGUGACAUUGACAGAUGGAAAAUUCACAGCCUUUAAAAAAUUCAUAUCCUGGUUCACUCGAUCACAUCCUUGUUGAAGUCAAAAGCACUGCUGAUGCCAAAGCCUUAGUUUGCCUAAAGGAAGUUUCAGCUUCAUACUACAUACAUGAGCCAUCCAGAAAAUAAUAAUAAUGAGGAGGAAGGCAGCUAGUUGUGUUUUAAUAAUAACUCCUUGUGACCAAGACCACCUUUCCCAACAUGGCCUUGGAAAGCAGAAGUGAGGUCAGGGCACCCUCAAGGUGCCAAAUGGCUCUUUUGCGGUUUUUAAAAAGCACGACGGGUUGAGAGGAGAUGGCAGGCAGCCGGGCAGAGGUCACCUCCGAGAUGUCAAUCAGAAACUGCCUGAAAGCCAAAGCCAAGGAGUGAGACGAGGCACCCUGGAGGAGGAAUUUUCCAUUGCCUGCAUUCAGAGAGCAACAUGCUGUGUGGGUUUAAUUUUCUUAUAAAUAUGUUGAUACUAAAUAAAUAAAUGUUAGUCCUAUGAGCCCAGCAACGUGAGAAGGAUAUCACUGUUAGAUUCUGAUUGGAGCAUGAGAGCUAGCUGAUCAAACAGAGGAUUUGACCAACGUGGGCUGAAUUUUCUAUUACCCCGCAGACAAAUUGUGUGCUUGUCCUUGAGACAGUGAAGUGGGUCAGGGUUAAUGGCAAUGGAUAGUUUAGAGUUACACCUUUCCUCUGCCCCCCUCCCUCCUGUUCUGGUACAUGCAAUCAUUUCAUGCCUUUGCAGGCAAAACAGCAGACUGGUUUGUUCUAAAACAAAAAUGAAAGGCAAGGGGAGAAGAAUUGCUUCACAAGAGGAGAAAGAAAAGGAAGUGUAUAAGCCUGAAGCUCAGAGUCCAUCUAUGCUGCAGAAUUAUUGCAGUUUGACAACACUUUAACUGCCAUGGCUCAAUGAUAUGGAAUCAUAAGAGUUGUCAUUUUACAAGGUUUUUGGUGCCUCACUAAACUAUAACUCCCAGGAUUCCAUAAUACGGAGCCAUGGUAAUCAACAUAAUGUCAAGCUGCAUUAAUUCUACAGUGUAGAUGAACUCUCAGGCACUCAGUCACUUAAUGUGGUAGUUCUCAACUGCAGACCACUGAGACAAAAAUUGGAUACAUCGUGGACCAUUGAGAUGAAUCAACUCCACUCUCCGCCAUCAACACACAAAGAAAUAAAAUUGUUUUUAAAUAACUAGAAUUUGUUAAUCAUCAUACAAAUAUUUUCAUAUACUUCUUAUUUUGUGAUAUAAAGACAACACCAUAAUGAAACUUAAUGAAAAAAAAUUAAUGUGAUUUUUGAACUUGCAUUUCUUUCAAUAGAUUGAUACUAUUAUUCAAUGUCACAUACGUGUCGUAGCAUGAAGUAACUGUAGACCAGCUCUUGAUAGUAGAAGAUUUCUGGAAGCCUUUGGAUAACCAAGCCCAUAGCUAUAGUAGUUGCGCAGGCUUUCUCUUUGACUUGAAACACUGCACUUUAUUCCUCUGCCCCAAAGCAUCUUAGAAUAUAACAUUGCAUUUUAGUUCUAGUGGCCCCUCCAGGCCAUCCUCUCCUCCAUCCCAGUGGUCUUUUUUCUUCUUCUUCUCUGACUCAUAUGUUAUUUGAGUGAUUAUAUUGCUUCUGUUUAUGUGAUUGUUUUAGUCAAUUGUUAUGGGUUUUUUUUUAACUCUUAUAGCGUUUUAUAGUGUUUUCAGUGUUUUAUUGUACAAUGUUUUAUGCUGAUUUUAUACUGGAAACCACCCUGAGUCCCUUUCGGGAGAGAGGGCGGUAUACAAAUAAACUUUUACUUACUUACUUACUAA